AUUGUUGUUAGUUGAACACGUUGGAGAGCGUGGCCAAAGAAGGUGACAGCCCUGUAGGCGAAAACAACAUGAACCAAUGAGGAUCCUGAGUACGGCGGAACACGAGAAAUUCCGUCGGAAUCAGCCGGGACCAUCCGGCAAGCCUAAAUACUACCUAGUGACCGAUAGUGAACCAGUACCGUGAGGGAAAGGUGAAAAGAACCCCGGAAGGGGAGUGAAAAGCACUUGAAACCGUAUGCUUACAAGUAGUCAGAGCCCGUUAAUGGGUGAUGGCGUACCUUUUGUAGAAUGGACCGGCGAGUGACGAUUUCAUGCAAGGUUAAUCUGAAGAAGAGGAGCCGCAGCGAAAGCGAGUCUGAAUAGGGCGUGCAGUAUGAGGUCGUCGACCCGAAACCAGGUGACCUACCCAUGUGCAGGGUGAAGGUGCGGUGAAACGCACUGGAGGCCCGAACCCACGUAUGUUGAAAAAUGCGGGGAUGACGUGUGGGUAGCGGUGAAAUUCCAAUCGAACCUGGAGAUAGCUGGUUCUCUCCGAAAUAGCUUUAGGGCUAGCCUCGGAUGAUGCAUCGUGGAGGUAGAGCGACUGUUUGGACGAGGGCCCCUUGCGGGGUACCGAAUCCUGAUAAACUCCGAAUGCCACAGAUGUUAAUCCGGGAGUCACACUGCGAGUGAUAAGAUCCGUAGUGGAAAGGGAAACAACCCAGACCGUCGGCUAAGGUCCCCAAAUCCUUGUUAAGUGGAAAAGGAUGUGGGGCUGCUUAGACAACUAGGAUGUUGGCUUAGAAGCAGCCAUCAUU
rnacentral:rRNA from 1 species